rnacentral:rRNA from 1 species
UACAAAGGGAAGCGAACCUGCGAGGGGGAGCAAAUCCCAAAAAGCGCGCCCCAGUUCAGAUUGCAGGCUGCAACCCGCCUGCAUGAAGCCGGAAUCGCUAGUAAUCGCGGGUCAGCAUACCGCGGUGAAUGUGUUCCUGAGCCUUGUACACACCGCCCGUCAAGUCACCAAAGCCGGGGGCCGGCCAAGGCCCCGAACCAACCCGAAAGGGAGGGAAGGGCUCAACCGGAACUCGGUGAUGGGGACUAAGUCGUAACAAGGUAGCCGUAGGGGAACCUGCGGCUGGAUCACCUCCUUUCUAAGGAUCUGUGAUCCUAGCCCCUUCGGGGAAACCCGUUGUGGGCGACUGUGGGGUCAGUCCUCACCUAGCGGUGGCCAGGUAU